CUACGGGCGGCAGCAGUGAGGAAUCUUCCACAAUGGGCGAAAGCCUGAUGGAGCGACACCGCGUGAAGGAUGAAGGCAUUUUUGUUGUAAACUUCUUUUCUGUGGGAAGAUAAUGACGGUACCACAGGAAUAAGGGGCGGCUAACUACGUGCCAGCAGCCGCGGUAAUACGUAGGCCCCAAGCGUUAUCCGGAAUCACUGGGUGUAAAGCGUCUGUAGGCGGAUGUUUAAGUUGAAUAUGAAAGACCGAGGCUCAACUUCGUGUUUGUAUUCAAAACUGGAUAUCUAGAAUCAGGGAGAGGUAAGCAGAAUUGUUAGAGAAGGGGUGCAAUCCGUAGAUACUAACAGGAAUACCAAAAGCGAAGGCAGCUUACUGGAACUGUAUUGACGCUGAGAGACGAAAGCGUGGGUAGCGAAAAGGAUUAGAUACCCCAGUAGUC
rnacentral:rRNA from 1 species